rnacentral:tRNA from 1 species
GGUGGCUCAGUGGUAGAGUACUUGCCUGGCAUGCAUGAGGCCCUGGGAUCAAUUUCUCAGUACCA